rnacentral:lncRNA from 1 species
GAGGCCAGGGAGAAGAAUAUUGAGAAUUGUAGAGAUACAAUUGAUAAAGAGUUACCUACUCUUGAACUCAUGAAUACUUGUUGUGCUAUCCACAAGGUGUUUGUGAGGAACAAAGAUCUCAACCCCACCAAGAAAUAUUAGUAUGCUUCUCAAUUUUCAUACUUGAAGGCUAUGAAGUUCAAUAAAAUAGUGAGAGACAUAAAUAGAUAAAAGUCCUAAUCUAGUUGUGUAUGUCAUCAUGAGUUAUCCGCUUAUAUUUUAUUCUUGUUAUUGUAGAUUAACUAUACAUAUGGCAUCCUCACUAUCACUUAGAGGC